GACGAACGCUGGCGGCGUGCUUAACACAUGCAAGUCGAACGGAAACGCCCUGCUUUUGUGGUGUUCUCGAUUGUCGAACGCGGGAGUAACACGUGAGUAACCUGCCCUUGACUUUGGGGUAACUUCAGGAAACUGGGGCGAAUACCCGAUAUGAGCUCCUGCUGCAUGUUGGUGGUUGGAAAGUUUCGGCGGUUGGUGAUGGACUCGCGGCUUAUCAGCUUGUUUGUGGGGUAGUGGCUUACCACGGCUUUGACGGGUAGCCGGCCUGAGAGGGUGAACGGCCACAUUGGGACUGAGAUACGGCCCAGAAUCGUACGGGAGGCAGCAGUGGGGAAUAUUGCACAAUGGGCGGAAGCCUGAUGAAGAAACGCCGCGUGCGGGAUGCCGGCCUUCGGGUUGUAAACAGCUUUCGCCGGUGACGAAGCGUGAGUGACGGUAAUGGGCAAAGAAGCACCGGCUAACUACGUG
rnacentral:rRNA from 1 species